CAGUCGAACGAACUCUGGUAUUGAUUGGUGCUUGCAUCAUGAUUUACAUUUGAGUGAGUGGCGAACUGGUGAGUAACACGUGGGAAACCUGCCCAGAAGCGGGGGAUAACACCUGGAAACAGAUGCUAAUACCGCAUAACAACUUGGACCGCAUGGUCCGAGUUUGAAAGAUGGCUUCGGCUAUCACUUUUGGAUGGUCCCGCGGCGUAUUAGCUAGAUGGUGAGGUAACGGCUCACCAUGGCAAUGAUACGUAGCCGACCUGAGAGGGUAAUCGGCCACAUUGGGACUGAGACACGGCCCAAACUCCUACGGGAGGCAGCAGUAGGGAAUCUUCCACAAUGGACGAAAGUCUGAUGGAGCAACGCCGCGUGAGUGAAGAAGGGUUUCGGCUCGUAAAACUCUGUUGUUAAAGAAGAACAUAUCUGAGAGUAACUGUUCAGGUAUUGACGGUAUUUAACCAGAAAGCCACGGCUAACUACGUGCCAGCAGCCGCGGUAAUACGUAGGUGGCAAGCGUUGUCCGGAUUUAUUGGGCGUAAAGCGAGCGCAGGCGGUUUUUUAAGUCUGAUGUGAAAGCCUUCGGCUCAACCGAAGAAGUGCAUCGGAAACUGGGAAACUUGAGUGCAGAAGAGGACAGUGGAACUCCAUGUGUAGCGGUGAAAUGCGUAGAUAUAUGGAAGAACACCAGUGGCGAAGGCGGCUGUCUGGUCUGUAACUGACGCUGAGGCUCGAAAGUAUGGGUAGCAAACAGGAUUAGAUACCCUGGUAGUCCAUACCGUAAACGAUGAAUGCUAAGUGUUGGAGGGUUUCCGCCCUUCAGUGCUGCAGCUAACGCAUUAAGCAUUCCGCCUGGGGAGUACGGCCGCAAGGCUGAAACUCAAAGGAAUUGACGGGGGCCCGCACAAGCGGUGGAGCAUGUGGUUUAAUUCGAAGCUACGCGAAGAACCUUACCAGGUCUUGACAUACUAUGCAAAUCUAAGAGAUUAGACGUUCCCUUCGGGGACAUGGAUACAGGUGGUGCAUGGUUGUCGUCAGCUCGUGUCGUGAGAUGUUGGGUUAAGUCCCGCAACGAGCGCAACCCUUAUUAUCAGUUGCCAGCAUUAAGUUGGGCACUCUGGUGAGACUGCCGGUGACAAACCGGAGGAAGGUGGGGAUGACGUCAAAUCAUCAUGCCCCUUAUGACCUGGGCUACACACGUGCUACAAUGGAUGGUACAACGAGUUGCGAACUCGCGAGAGUAAGCUAAUCUCUUAAAGCCAUUCUCAGUUCGGAUUGUAGGCUGCAACUCGCCUACAUGAAGUCGGAAUCGCUAGUAAUCGCGGAUCAGCAUGCCGCGGUGAAUACGUUCCCGGGCCUUGUACACACCGCCCGUCACACCAUGAGAGUUUGUAACACCCAAAGUCGGUGGGGUAACC
rnacentral:rRNA from 2 species